GAUGAACGCUGGCGGCGUGCCUAAUACAUGCAAGUCGAGCGAACGGACGAGAAGCUUGCUUCUCUGAUGUUAGCGGCGGACGGGUGAGUAACACGUGGAUAACCUACCUAUAAGACUGGGAUAACUUCGGGAAACCGUAGCUAAUACCGGAUAAUAUUUUGAACCGCAUGGUUCAAAAGUGAAAGACGGUCUUGCUGUCACUUAUAGAUGGAUCCGCGCUGCAUUAGCUAGUUGGUAAGGUAACGGCUUACCAAGGCAACGAUGCAUAGCCGACCUGAGAGGGUGAUCGGCCACACUGGAACUGAGACACGGUCCAGACUCCUACGGGAGGCAGCAGUAGGGAAUCUUCCGCAAUGGGCGAAAGCCUGACAGAGCAACGCCGCGUGAGUGAUGAAGGUCUUCGGAUCGUAAAACUCUGUUAUUAGGGAAGAACAUAUGUGUAAGUAACUGUGAACAUCUUGACGGUACCUAAUCAGAAAGCCACGGCUAACUACGUG
rnacentral:rRNA from 1 species